rnacentral:rRNA from 1 species
AUUGAACGCUGGCGGAAUGCUUUACACAUGCAAGUCGAACGGCAGCACGGACUUCGGUCUGGUGGCGAGUGGCGAACGGGUGAGUAAUACAUCGGAACGUGCCCAAUCGUGGGGGAUAACGUAGCGAAAGCUACGCUAAUACCGCAUACGAUCUAAGGAUGAAAGCGGGGGAUCGCAAGACCUCGCGCGAUUGGAGCGGCCGAUGGCAGAUUAGGUAGUUGGUAGGGUAAAGGCCUACCAAGCCGACGAUCUGUAGCUGGUCUGAGAGGAUGAUCAGCCACACUGGGACUGAGACACGGCCCAGACUCCUACGGGAGGCAGCAGUGGGGAAUUUUGGACAAUGGACGCAAGUCUGAUCCAGCCAUUCCGCGUGCAGGAUGAAGGCCCUCGGGUUGUAAACUGCUUUUGUACAGAACGAAAAGGCUCUGGUUAAUACCUAGGGCUCAUGACGGUACUGUAAGAAUAAGCACCGGCUAACUCCGUGCCAGCCGCCGCAGUAA